CAAAACUCUUUUUGUUAAAAGUAAGGAUUUGAAGGGCCCCCUAGCUAAAUUCGCCUUGGGCCCCCAAAUUGCUAAAUCCGCCACUGUCCCCGUCUGAAUGUGGAGGUGGCGUACCUGAACUGCUCAGACAGGAGUACCACCGGAUGGCUGUCAGCAUGGAUAAACUUAAGUGACACUGAGGGAAUGCCUAUCUUGGUGGAUCUGAUCUGGCAAGUUGUCUAUCUGACCCUUGAGACACCUGCC